CUACUUUAACAAGAGCAUUUUAUAUGAUCAUUGUAGGUAGGAGAACGCGCGUUUGUUAAAAACCAAUUUCAGUAAAUAAAACAAACUACAAUUGCCAAAAAUAACUUUUUAUCCGUAUGAUGUGUCCGUACAUCUUAGCAAGAGAAUUUCUUACACAGAUCGAGUCCUGUAAUACGAUUUUGUGUCUUGAGAAUCUCGAGAGUUGCAUGAGUAUAAUAACUUAUAAUUCAACUUCCAAAGGCCCUGUGUAAAAUUGGAGAGGUGUGAAAUGGAGCAAUUUCGAGAGAUAGGAGAGGUAUUAGGAAGCAUAAGAGCGUUAAUGGUGUUCAAGGACGACAUUCAAAUCAACCAGCGUCAAUGCUCUCUAUUACUCGACCUCUUCACCGCGGCCUACGAGUCGAUUUCCGAAUCGAUGAGAUCGAAUCUACGCUUCAAAGAGAAGAACACUAAAUGGAAGAUUCUAGAACAGCCUUUGAGGGAGCUUCUAUGGGUGGUAAGAGAAGGAGAGGCUUAUGUCAGAAUGUCUUUAGAGCCUAAACUUGGGUUUUGGGCUAAGGCUAUAGUGUUGCAUUGCAAUAGAGAUUGCACAGAGCUUCACAUACAUAACUUGCUCUCUUGUCUACCGAUCAUUGUCGAGGCUAUUGAGACAGCGGGUGAGGUUUCAGGGUGGGAUGAAGAAGAGAUGAGCAAGAAGAGGUUGGUGCAUUCUAACAAGUAUAUGAAGCAAUGGAAUGACUCUCAGAUGUUUACCUGGAAGUUCGGGAGAGAGUAUUUGGUGACCGAAGAUUUCUGCAACCGGUUCGAGAGUGCUUGGACAGAGGACCGUUGGAUUCUAAUCAAGGAGCUUCAGGAGA
rnacentral:lncRNA from 1 species